rnacentral:rRNA from 1 species
GUGAGGAAUUUUCCGCAAUGGGCGAAAGCCUGACGGAGCAAUGCCGCGUGAAGGAUGAAGGCCUAUGGGUUGUAAACUUCUUUUCUCAGAAAAGAAUUAUGACGGUAUCUGAGGAAUAAGCAUCGGCUAACUCUGUGCCAGCAGCCGCGGUAAGACAGAGGAUGCAAGCGUUAUCCGGAAUGAUUGGGCGUAAAGCGUCUGUAGUUUGUUUAAAAAGUAUUCUGUCAAAGAUUAGGGCUUAACCCUAGAUAGGCAGAAUAAACUUUUAAGCUAGAGUUUGGUAGAGGCAGAGGGAAUUCCCGGUGGAGCGGUGAAAUGCGUAGAUAUCGGGAGGAACACCAAAGGCGAAGGCACUCUGCUGGGCCAAUACUAACACUGAGAGACGAAAGCGAGGGGAGCAAAUGGGAUUAGAAACCCCUGUAGUCC